rnacentral:tRNA from 1 species
GAGUAAGUAGCUCAAUGGGAGAGCACCGACUUUGACUCGGCGGUUGCGGGUUCGAAUCCCGCCCCAAACCCA